GCAAGGAGGGUGUGAGAGGGAGGUGAGAAAGAUGUCUAGGACAGAGAAAGGGAGGUUGCAGUAUUCCACAUUCCAGUGCAAGCACGAGGAGGCGCAGGAGAGGGAGACACUUAAGUCAAACACCUACCACAUUCAUAUCUACUGACACGCCAGCACUGAUUUCAAGGAGAAUAUAUCCAUACCGCAUACAGGAAGAAAAUCAACACCAUGUCAAAAAUUACACGCAAGUGAGGAAACACACCAAAUCUAAAUCACAAGGAAAUCUCAUUCCCAGUAAGUGGCCUAUGAAACAAACUUCAAUAAUCUGCUGAAAGAAGCCUCUUCUCAUAUUUUAUGGGAAUAGAGAGAAAAGAGAGACUUCAAGAUAAUGAGGGAGAGAAGAGUUCUUACAUAUCAAGAAAAAUCUUCAAGACUGAAAUGGCACUUCUCACAGCAUUCAUAUGAACUGCAUAAAGGGUGUUGGUGUCCCUCUGUUGCCCAGGCUGGAGUGCAGUGGCAAGACUGGCUCACUGCAACCUCCACCUCCUGGGAUCAAGCGAUCCUCCCAUCUCAUCCUCCAGGAGCUGGGACUAAAGGUACAUGCCACCAUGCCCCGCUACUUCUGUGAGAAAUCUCCAUACUGCUUUCCACAGUAGCUGAACUAAUUUACA
rnacentral:lncRNA from 1 species